CAGAUCUCUGGUGGUGAUGAAGUUAUCUGCAGGCACAACGGACACUGAGGAACGCGGCAAGCUUGGGGAUGUCAUGGGAAGCCGUCAGAGAAGACCUCACUGAUGGUUCCCUCCGCCCGGCUGGCCCCCAUCGUUCUGACAUCGAUCAGCGUGACGAGAAUCCAUCUUCCUCAUCGCUGGCAACAAAGGCGGAAAAGGCAGAAGGGAACACAGUUAUUUCAUGCCUUCCUCUGACAGAGUAAGGAAGGGCGGGGCUGAGAGGGAGCGCAUACAUGAUACAGACAGGGACCAUGACAGUGGAGACGAUGCCCCAGUUUCAUCCAGCAGGCAAACUCCUCCACCCCCACCCCCACCCCAAAAAAAGGCCCACCCUCCCUCAUAGGCUAUUUUACAACUUUACGUUUCUCAAUCUCCAUCUACCCCUUUUUUUUUUGUUUGUUUGUUUGUUUGUUUGUUUUUUUAAGUGCACUUUUUUGCACUGCUGCCUGUCAGUCACAAAUGUUUCUACAGGGUCCUCUCCAGCUCACCUGUCUUGACAAGCUUGCUGUGUGUCACAGGAUACAGGCUGGGGCCUCUGAACACAAAGAGAGCACGCUGUCACUCACGCUGGCGCGCGGCUCACAGGAAACAACUCUCUAAACAGUCAGAUCCCAUGACAACGACCGAGGGCGAACCACGCAUUCACCCCCAAAGAAUGUUUACAAUCCUUCACUUAGUUUUUGUUGCCUAUGUCUGUUAUUCCAUUGGUGUGGUUAUUAAAAACAGAGGCGUACCUUUAAACACAA